UUCGGGAGACCGGAGCUAAUACCGGAUAAUAUUUGAACCGCAUGGUUAAAAAGUGAAAGACGGUCUUGCUGUCACUUAUAGAUGGAUCCGCGCUGCAUUAGCUAGUUGGUAAGGUAACGGCUUGCCAAGGCAACGAUGCAUAGCCGACCUGAGAGGGUGAUCGGCCACACUGGAACUGAGACACGGUCCAG
rnacentral:rRNA from 1 species